rnacentral:rRNA from 1 species
GAUGAACGCUAGCUACAGGCUUAACACAUGCAAGUCGAGGGACCAGCGCUCGGGUGAGUAACACGUAUCCAACCUGCCCUUUCCUCGGGUAUAGCUUUUCGAAAGAAAGAUUAAUACCCAAUAUAAAGGAUGGGGAUGCGUUCCAUUAGGUUGUUGGUGAGGUAACGGCUCACCAAGCCUGCGAUGGAUAGGGGUUCUGAGAGGAAGGUCGCCGGCAUUGGAAGGGGGACACGGUCAAAACUCCUACGGGACGCAGCAGUGAGGAAGAUUGGGCAAUAGUCGCUAGUCUGAAACAGCCAAGUAGAGUGAAGGAUGAAGGCUUAUGUGGCGUAAAAUUCUUUUAUAUAAGAAUAUGUAUUAUAUGAAUAAGGAUCGGCUAACUCCGUGCCAGCAGCCGCGGUAAUUC